rnacentral:rRNA from 1 species
UAAGCAAAACUAUACGUAGUCUGCGAUAUACAGGAAGACCCGCUGAACUGAA